UACGGGGGGGGCAAGCGUUGUUCGGAAUUACUGGGCGUAAAGGGCUCGUAGGCGGCCAACUAAGUCAGACGUGAAAUCCCUCGGCUUAACCGGGGAACUGCGUCUGAUACUGGAUGGCUUGAAUCCGGGAGAGGGAUGCGGAAUUCCAGGUGUAGCGGUGGAAUGCGUAGAGAUCCGGAAGAACACCGGUGGCGAAGGCGGCCUGCUGGGCGGCGACUGACGCUGAGGCGCGACAGCGUGGGGAGCAAACAGG
rnacentral:rRNA from 1 species